rnacentral:rRNA from 1 species
GACGAACGCUGGCGGCGCGCCUAACACAUGCAAGUCGAACGAGCGAGAGAGAGCUUGCUUUCUCGAGCGAGUGGCGAACGGGUGAGUAACGCGUGAGGAACCUGCCUCAAAGAGGGGGACAACAGUUGGAAACGACUGCUAAUACCGCAUAAGCCCACGACCCGGCAUCGGGUAGAGGGAAAAGAGCAAUCCGCUUUGAGAUGGCCUCGCGUCCGAUUAGCUAGUUGGUGAGGUAACGGCCCACCAAGGCGACGAUCGGUAGCCGGACUGAGAGGUUGAACGGCCACAUUGGGACUGAGACACGGCCCAGACUCCUACGGGAGGCAGCAGUGGGGAAUAUUGCACAAUGGGGGAAACCCUGAUGCAGCGACGCCGCGUGGAGGAAGAAGGUCUUCGGAUUGUAAACUCCUGUUGUUGAGGAAGAUAAUGACGGUACUCAACAAGGAAGUGACGGCUAACUACGUG